rnacentral:rRNA from 1 species
AUUGAACGCUGGCGGAAUGCUUUACACAUGCAAGUCGAACGGUAGAGGGGGCAACCCCUCGAGAGUGGCGAACGGGUGAGUAAUAUAUCGGAACGUGCCCAGUCGUGGGGGAUAACGUAGCGAAAGUUACGCUAAUACCGCAUACGAUCUAAGGAUGAAAGCGGGGGAGCGCAAGACCUCGCGCGAUUGGAGCGGCCGAUAUCAGAUUAGGUAGUUGGUGGGGUAAAGGCCCACCAAGCCGAAGAUCUGUAGCUGGUCUGAGAGGACGACCAGCCACACUGGGACUGAGACACGGCCCAAACUCCUACGGGAGGCAGCAGUGGGGAAUUUUGGACAAUGGGCGCAAGCCUGAUCCAGCAAUGCCGCGUGCAGGAAGAAGGCCUUCGGGUUGUAAACUGCUUUUGUACGGAGCGAAAAGGCUCUCUCUAAUACAGGGGGCUCAUGACGGUACCGUAAGAAUAAGCACCGGCUAACUACGUGCCAGCAGCCGCCGUAA